rnacentral:sRNA from 1 species
UCACUCCCGUCGCGUAUCUUAUCCCCGUUAAGCGUUCGAUUCGAGCGCAGCGAGAACGCGUUGCCGCAGGCAACGACCCGAAGGGCGAAGCGCGCAGCGCUGAGUCAUCCUUCCCCCACCACCA